rnacentral:rRNA from 1 species
ACUAUUAAUAACCCCAAAUACCACAACACCUAAAUGAACUAAACCAUUUUCCCUCCCUAGUACGGACGACGAAAAAGGAUCUAUGGAGCAACAGAGACAGUACCGUAAGGGAACGCUGAAAGAGAAAUGAAAAACCCAGUAUAAGCCCAAAAAAGCAGAGACUCUACCUCGUACCUUUUGCAUCAUGUUUUAGCAAGUAACCUCAAGCAAAGUAACACUUUAGUCUGACUCCCCGAAACUAGGUGAGCUACUUCAAGUCAGCCUAAUAUAGGGCCAACCCGUUUCUGUGGCAAAAGAAUGGGAAGAACUUUGAGUAGUGGUGACAGACCAAUCGAACCUAGUUAUAGCUGGUUGCCUGGGAACUGGAUAGAAGUUCAGCCUCACGGCUUCUCUCUUCACCCCCCCCCCGAUACUUAAGAAACCGUGAGAGUUAUUCAAAGGGGGAACAGCCCCUUUGAAACAAGAUACAACUUUUCUAGGAGGGUAAAGAUCAUAAUUUAUACAAGGAAAAACGUUCUGGUGGGCCUAAAAGCAGCCAUCCCUAUAGAAAGCGUUAAAGCUCAAACAUACUUUACUCCUCUUAUUCUGAUAACUUAAUCUUAACCCCCUAUUAUUUACCAGGCCAUCCCACACCCCUGUGGAAGUGACCAUGCUAAUAUGAGUAACAAGAGAGCUACAAAGUCUCUCUCCCUGCACACCUGUAAAUCGGAACGGACACCCCGCCGAAUAUUAACGGCCCCAAAUAAAGAGGGAAAUGAAAAAUUAACCCAAAACCAGAAAAACAUUCAACAAUAAACCGUUAACCUUACACUAGAGUGCUCAUAAGGAAAGACCAAAAGGAAAAGAAGGAACUCGGCAAACAUAAGCCUCGCCUGUUUACCAAAAACAUCGCCUCUUGCAAAAACAAUGAAUAAGAGGUCCCGCCUGCCCAGUGACUAUAUGUUUAACGGCCGCGGUAUUUUAACCGUGCGAAGGUAGCGCAAUCACUUGUCCUUUAAAUAGGGACCUGUAUGAAUGGCACAACGAGGGCUUGACUGUCUCCUUUUCCAAGUCAAUGAAAUUGAUCUCCCCGUGCAGAAGCGGGGAUUAACACAUAAGACGAGAAGACCCUGUGGAGCUUUAGACACUAAAGCAGAUCAAGUUAAACAACCCUAAUUACAGGACUAAACCAGAAGAACCCUGCCCGAAUGUCUUUGGUUGGGGCGACCACGGGGUACACAAAACCCCCGCGUGGAAAGGGAGGAUUCCCCCCAUCCUACUCCCCCUCCUACAACUAAGAAACCCCACUCUAAUACAACAGAAAUUCUGACCUCCAAGAUCCGGCAACGCCGAUCAACGGACCCAGUUACCCCAGGGAUAACAGCGCAAUCCCCUUUUAGAGCCCAUAUCGACAAGGGGGUUUACGACCUCGAUGUUGGAUCAGGACAUCCUAAUGGUGCAGCCGCUAUUAAGGGUUCGUUUGUUCAACGAUUAAAGUCCUACGUGAUCUGAGUUCAGACCGGAGUAAUCCAGGUCGGUUUCUAUCUAUGAUAUGCUUUUCUCCAGUACGAAAGGACCGAGAAAAAAAGGCCCAUGUUUCAAACACGCCUCCUCCCUACCUAUUGAAAACAACUAAAAUAGUUAAAGGGACAUAAUUCUAACCCAAACCGAAGAUAACGGUUA